rnacentral:tRNA from 1 species
GAGUUGGUGGUAUAGUGGUGAGUGUGGCUGCCUUCCAAGCAGUUAACCCAGGUUCGAUUCCUGGCCAACACA